rnacentral:rRNA from 1 species
CCCUUAGAUGUUCUGGGCCGCACGCGCGCUACACUGAUGCAUUCAACGAGCCUAUCCUUGACCGACAGGUCCGGGUAAUCUUUGAAUCUGCAUCGUGACGGGGAUAGAUUAUUGCAAUUAUUAAUCUUCAACGAGGAAUGCCUAGUAGGCGCAAGUCAUCAGCUUGCGUCGAUUACGUCCCUGCCCUUUGUACACACCGCCCGUCGCUCCUACCGAUUGGGUGUGCUGGUGAAAUGUUCGGAUCGGCCGUUUGUCGCGGUUUCCGCGGCUCGUGGCUGAGAAGUUCAUUAGACCCUCCCACCUAGAGGAAGGAGAAGUCGUAACA